rnacentral:tRNA from 1 species
GGAGAGGUCGCCUAGUCCGGUCUAUGGCGUGCGUCUGGAAAGCGCAUAUGGGUCACACCAUCGAGGGUUCAAAUCCCUCCCUCUCCG